rnacentral:rRNA from 1 species
AUUGAACGCUGGCGGCAGGCCUAACACAUGCACGUCGAGCGAGCGGCGGCUGGGUGAGUAAUGUAUGGGGACUGCCCGCUAGAGGGGGAUAACUACUGGAAACGGUGGCUAAUACCGCAUACUAUCGGAUAACCCAUAUGGGAUUGGCUAGUAGGUGGGGUAAAGGCUCACCUAGGCGACGAUCUCUAGCUGGUCUGAGAGGAUGAUCAGCCAAACUGGUACAGGGAGACGGCCCGGACUCCGACGGAGGCAGCAGUGGGGAAUAUUGCACAAAGGGCGCAAGCCUGAUGAAGACAGGCCGCGAGUAUGAGGAAGGCCUUAGGGUUGUAAAGUACUUUUAGCGGGGAGGCUUUACCCGAAGAAAAAGCACCGGCUAACUCCGUGCCAGCAGCCGCGGUAAUUC